CCUACGGGUGGCAGCAGUGGGGAAUAUUGCGCAAUGGACGAAAGUCUGACGCAGCGACGCCGCGUGAGGGAUGAAGGUUUUCGGAUCGUAAACCUCUGUCAGGAGGGAAGAAAGCGCAUGGCGCCCAUCAGCCAUGCGUUGACGGUACCUCCAAAGGAAGCGCCGGCUAACUCCGUGCCAGCAGCCGCGGUAAUACGGAGGGCGCGAGCGUUAAUCGGAAUUACUGGGCGUAAAGCGCGCGUAGGCUGUUGUGUAAGUUGGGGGUGAAAUCCCACGGCUCAACCGGGGAACAGCCCUUGAUACUGCGCGACUUGAAUCCGGGAGAGGGUGGCGGAAUUCCAGGUGUAGGAGUGAAAUCCGUAGAUAUUAGAAAGAACACCGAUAGCGUAGGCAGGUUACUGGGACGGUUCUGACACUAAGGCACGAAAGCGUAGGGAGCAAACGGGAUUAGAUACCCUGGUAGUC
rnacentral:rRNA from 1 species